UACGUAGGGUGCGAGCGUUGUCCGGAAUUAUUGGGCGUAAAGAGCUCGUAGGCGGUCUGUCGCGUCGAUCGUGAAAACUUGGGGCUUAACCCUGGGCUGGCUUCCGAUACGGGCAGACUAGAGGUAUGCAGGGGAGAACGGAAUUCCUGGUGUAGCGGUGAAAUGCGCAGAUAUCAGGAGGAACAUCGGUGGCGAAGGCGGUUCUCUGGGCAUUACCUGACGCUGAGGAGCGAAAGUGUGGGGAGCGAACAGG
rnacentral:rRNA from 1 species